UUUGACAUGCACGUAGUAGUGACCGAAGGGAACGAGCCUUCGGGCAGCGUGCACAGGUGCUGCAUGGCUGUCGUCAGCUCGUGCCGUGAGGUGUUGGGUUAAGUCCCGCAACGAGCGCAACCCUCGUCGCUAGUUACAUGUGUCUAGCGAGACUGCCAGGUUAACCCUGGAGGAAGGUGGGGAUGACGUCAAGUCAGCAUGGCCUUUAUGUCCAGGGCUACACACACGCUACAAUGGUCGGUACAAUGGGAUGCCAAGCCGCGAGGCGGAGCAAAUCCUCAAAGCCGGCCUCAGUUCGGAUUGGAGGCUGCAACUCGCCUCCAUGAAGUCGGAGUUGCUAGUAACCGCAGGUCAGCUAUACUGCGGUGAAUACGUUCCCGGGCCUU
rnacentral:rRNA from 1 species